AUUAGUAGACAUAAAACUGAAAGCUAGUGGUUUUACACAUUGCAUAAUAUCUUCGCGCGUAUUCAUGCAGUGGAAGCAGUAACAUGGACUCCAUUUGUACUUGCUUACUCAGACAGUGACUGAAAACAAAACCUACUAGGAUUCUAUUGUUAGACGGAGUGAGGACCCUAAUAAAGGUGUGUUUUACAGAUGUGACUAACUGUGUUUGCAACCAGCAAAACAGCACCGCGUUGCAAAGACACGAGAGAGGCAUUCCUGCAAAACUGAGGAGACAUUCACAUCAACAUACAUCAGCUCUGUAGGUCGAUGCAGUGAAGAAUGUCAAGAUCAGCAGCUGGUGUGUCACUGGUGGUUACUGUGACACUCUUGUGUCUUUCAGUGGGUGUGAUUCAAUCCACAGCCAGUGCAACGCAGGACGUCUUCCAGGCAGAGGAGGGCAGUAACGUCACACUGACAUGCCUCUUUCAUCUCAAGACUCACACGCCUGCCACCUCGCUGUAUAUAGACAUUAUAUGUGAGAACCUAAAGAGGUCGAUCUACCGUUAUGACAGUGAGUUCGAGGCUGAGCCGUAUGAAGAUGAGCUCUACAGAGGACGAGUGUUGUGCGAUCUAGAGCUCCUCAAGAAAGGACGGAUUGAAUGUCUCUUCACUGAUCUGAGACUCAACGACACGAGCACCUAUGUCUUUAUUGUUGUGAUUAACGAAGAUAGUCACAGCAAGAGAUGUGGGCUCAAUGUUACAGAGACGCCGCCGCAUCCCACAAGAGAUGUCCAAACUCCAGGUUCAAAUGAGACGGAUGUUAAAGGUGGUCGGCUCCGUCUGAUCGUUCUGGUCCCGGUUCUGGUUCUGGUCCUGAUCCUGGGCGGAGGAGUCGCUGGAUAUUUACUCAAACACAAGUGUCAAAAACAAAAUCGUCCGGAGUAUUUCGUCGCCCCAACCGAACCUCUUCCAGUCCAGGUGCUUUGCGCAGAGGCGACGUCGGUAGUUUAAUGGAGAGCAGCCCGUCCAGCCAGCCACAAGUGGACCGACCAGAUCAGCAGCGUGACGGAUACGGAUCGCCGUCGGAGAGAAUGUACACAUUCCGGAGUAUGACGUCGCCCCAACCGAACCUCUUCCAGUCUAGGUGCCUUGCUCAGAGGCACGUCGGUAGUGUAAUGGAGAGCAGCGUGUCCAGCCAGCCACAAGUGGACCAACCGGAUCAGCAGCGUGACGGAUACAGAUCGCCGUCGGAGAGAACGUACAGUAAGUCUGAUUAGAAGAUGACCUUUUUAACGCCCGCUGUGUGACUUUGCACCAAAACGCUGGAGGAAUCCGGGCUUCACGUUAAAAGGUUUAGACUGAGAGAAGAGCUGUGAACUCUCUUCAGCACCAGGAUCACGUUUCAUCUACUUUUUCUAUCAAGAGAAGACGGACUUAAUGGCAGCACUACUUUUAUUUAUUAUAAAUGUUAUUAUACUUUUAGAGUUACAGUUUGAC